UUUUGGUGAGGUGCCUUCCGAGUUCCCUGGAACGGGACGCCAUAGAGGGUGAGAGCCCCGUCUGGUUGGACGCCGAACCUCUGUAAAGCUCCUUCGACGAGUCGAGUAGUUUGGGAAUGCUGCUCUAAAUGGGAGGUAUAUGUCUUCUAAAGCUAAAUACCGGCCAGAGACCGAUAGCGCACAAGUAGAGUGAUCGAAAGAUGAAAAGAACUUUGAAAAGAGAGUUAAACAGUACGUGAAAUUGUUGAAAGGGAAGCGCUUGUGACCAGACUUGGGCUUGGUUGAUCAUCCGGGGUUCUCCCCGGUGCACUCUUCCGGCCCAGGCCAGCAUCAGUUCGCCCUGGGGGACAAAGGCAUCGGGAACGUGGCUCUCUCCGGGGAGUGUUAUAGCCCGUUGCGUAAUACCCUGCGGC
rnacentral:rRNA from 1 species